UCUUCGCUAGUAUAUCGGUUAGUAUAAUCGCCUCUCAAGUCCGAGAAAUUGCUUCGGCAGUGCGCGAUAGAGCAGGGUUCGACUCCCUGGCGGAGAA
rnacentral:tRNA from 1 species